CGCACCCGCCGUAGUCGCGCAGUGCACACAGAGCGCAGGCGCGCGCCGGCCACACCCAACGUACACGCCCUGAAUCCUGCUGCACACAGAACACACCCCCACCGCAACGCCUGCGAAACCAGCCCGCUACGCAGCCACGUCUGCCACAACACACAGCAGGUUGAAGAGCGCAAAAGAGUGGGCGUUCACCUUCUGGCUUCACAAUUUGUUCUGCUGAGUCUGUACGUCACCUGAUCUCUUGUAGGCUCCCGGAGCCACAUGCUUCGCCUUCUGAUGGCAGCCCAGAGUCCCUGAGAAGUGUCGCUUUGGUAACUGGAGACCUUCCAAGCUCCCUGCUCCUUUUGGGGGCAGUGAUGACACGUCUGGAUUCGAGAAGGAGCAAAGGCCCUGGGGCUCAAUAAGCAUGGUUGUGUUGCCAUCCUGAGGCGAGACACCUGGACAAGACGUGUGAGUACUAGGGUUUCUGAUACUAAUACAAACUUGUUCCAGUCCAAUCCAACAGCAAUACCAGGGUUACUGUUUUCCCUCUGAGCAAGGCUCGAACAACGUGUAAGUCUCCGAUGGGACAGUAAAUACUAUACGAUGAAUAAAAUCAGGUUUCUUAUUUUGUCUGUGUUGCCCGAGAAGCCGAGGAGAUCACAGACAUUGGGUGCACGAUGCCAAUGCUGGUGAUUUCAUAAACAAGCUAAGAAAGGGUAAUGAGCAAGGAGACGCACACACACGGGUGUAUCCACCAGUUGGACUUUGGCGGUGUGAGGGAACAGGGACAUGGAAACUGGAGCCUGAGGUGUAACAGCGGAUGAGCAAAGCUAGGGCUGAGAAAACGAGUUCACGCCAAAGGAACAGCACGCAUGGACACCCUGAGGCGGGAGAGGACAGAUGACACACAGGAUCUCAAAGGAGCAGAGUGGCGACAAAAGGGAAGCCGGUGAGCCCACAUUGGCUGAGACUGAAGGGCUGGGGCGGGAUGCAGACCAGGAAGCCACAUCAGGUUUUGGCGUUUAUGUGCCGGGCAAUGUGACACGUGAAGGACACGUUUUCAACGAGUAUGCAGCAGUAUGUAAGGCAUUCAAGAAUAUGAAAAAGAAUACGACCCACACCACCUGGGCUCAA